AGCAUCCAUCUGACAGCUCACAAAACACACAGAUAUUCAGGCAAAACACCCAUACACAUAAAAUACAUCUGGAAUUAACUAAAACCCAAGCAUCUGGGUACACCUGUAAGGGCAUGGAAGAAGGAAGCUUUUUAUCUAUGUUUGCUUACCUUCCCCCUCACUGGAUUCCCAUUCUUUUUGAAUCUAGUCUAUCCUGAAGACCAACUGAGACAUCCAACUGCAUGGACUGGACAAUAACUACUGUGAAUAAUUACUAGAUAGUAAUUCUGUCCCUCUAGAGAAUCCUGACUAAUAUAUACAUAUAAACCCAUUUGGGAGGUUAGGGCCAGAGAAUCACAAAUUUGAAGCCUGAAUGGGCUACAGGGCAUGGUCCUUUCUCAAAAAAUUGAAAAAUCUUUUAGGUUGGCUAGCUUCUAUUUCUAGACAUGAUGGAACAGAUGCACUUUUCUUUCAUAACGUGUAAGUCAAAUCCAGAAGAUGCACACUUAUUAGCCACCUUGAAAAUGAAGGAACAACAAAGCAAUGCAUUCUCUGUUUUCUUGUGCCUCCUCUAUAUUGUGGAAUGGGUACUAAAGAAGCCACCUAUUAAUAGUGAGCACCUAUUAAUAGUCAUAGACAAAACAAACAAACAAACAAACAUUAUCUCUAGCCAAAGGACAAAGAAAACAAUUAUCUAUCCUGUAAAAGCAGAAAGCAAGCACCCUAACCCUGCUAACGAAGGCCUAAUUUGAGAAGAAAGGAUUUUUGGACAGUGUCCUAAUUAGGGUUACUAUUGUUGUGAUGAAAGUCCAUAACCAAAGCAACUUGGGUUUAGCCAGGAAAGGAUUUAUUUCAAUUUAUAUUUCCAGGGACCUCAAUUUAAAAAGUGCCUCACAGCCAACCAUUGGAUUGAGCACGGGGUUCCCAAUAGAGGAGUUAGACAAGGAACCGAAGGAGUUGAAAGGUUUGCAACCCUAUAAGAAGAACGACAACAUCAACCAACCAGACCCCCCAGAACUCCCAGGGACUAAGCCAUCAACAAAGAAGUACACAUGGCUCCAGCUGCAUAUGUAGAAGAGGAUAAUGGGAGGAGAGGUCUUUGGUCCUAUGAAGGCUCCAUAGAUGCCCCAGUGUAGGGGAAUCAAGGGCAGGGAGGUGGGAGUGGGUGGGUGGAGGAACACCCUCAUAGAAGCUGGGGGAGGAAGGAUGGGAUAGGGGGUUUCCAGGAGGGAGGGAAACCAGGAACGGGGAUAACAUUUGAAGUGUAACUAAAGAAAAUAUCCAAUAAAAAAAGAAAUACAGGAAAAUACAAUCAAACAGAUGAAGGGGGAAAAAAAGAAAGAAAAUGACUCCAUAAUAUUAGGUUGUAGGCAAUUCUGUAGGACAUUUGCAUAGUGAUUGAUGAGGAGGACCAAGCCCAUUGUGGGUGGUGCCACCCCUGGGCUGGGUCCUGGGUUCUAUAAGAAAGCAGUCUGAGCAAGCCAUAGGAGCAAGUCAAUAAGCAUUGUUCCUCUAUGACUUCUGCAUCAGCUCAUGCCUCCAGGUUCCAGCCCUAUUUGAGUUCCUGCCCUAGCUUCCUUCAAUGAUGGACUAGAAUUUGGAAGUAUAACCCAAAUAAACCCUGUCUUCCCAAAUUGCUUCAGGCAUGGUGUUUCACAUCACAGCAAUUAAGAAACUUCCUUUCAGAUAACUCUAGCUUGUGUCAACUUAAACUAACCAGUAUAGUCAGCAACCCCCAUCCUGGCUGUAACCAAGUGGGGUGCCAGUGUACUGCCAGGAGAGGCUUGCUAAAAUGAUUGAAACAAGAUUCAUAUAUAAAGAACAUAAUACCUUAAAUGUGCAAAAUAUAAUGAAAAGAACACUUUUCAAACAAAGAACCAAGAAAAUUUCAUUUUGAAUGAGAAAAGCACUUGAAAGACUGCAGUCCUGACACCACACUGUUAUGAAAAUAACCAGAAACAAGCUUAAAGCAGUGCUGUGUCUAAUCUUGGUUGUCAGCUUGACCUGGACCAGGAUUCAACUAAAAGGCAAGCUGCUGGGUACACCUGUGAAGAAUUCCCCUAAUUGGGUUACUUGAAGUGGACAUUCCACCCUAAGUGGGUGGCACCUUCCGGUGGCAGCCCAGACAAAAAGGAAGACUGAGGAAAAGAGCUUUUUGCCUUCAUUCCACUCUUUCCAGCAGCUUCAUCUACACCAUACUACUGUUGUUGCUUCUAUGCACUAAUACCAGAGCACAGCUUCUUCAGGCUCGCAACAUGGAGUGAAGACCAGGGCUCUCCAGAAAAUUUCCCUACCUUUAGUACCAGAUUGGGACUGUUGAGGUAUUCUGCCUCAUGGAUGAGGAAACUACUGUGUUCUCAACUUCGUCAGCGUGAAAGAGCUCUAGUUAGAUGACUCAGACCAUGUAGAAUAAGACAAUCUAGUAAAUUUUUAAUAUAUUUCUAUAAGUUAUAUUCCUCUAGAGAUCCCCGAGCAAUACAAGCAGCUAUCAUUAAAGUACUUCAACACUUACAAACACAAUUGGAAGAAAAUAAUACAAACUUUCACCAAAAAAUUUUAAAGAAUCAAACGGAAAACAAUUUUUUUUGAAACAAAGUUUUAUGCUAUGUGAUUCAGGAUAGCCUUUACCUUGUGAUUCUCCUGCCUUAGACUUGGGAGGACUGCGAUUAUGGUUAUGUUCAACCAUACCUGAAAACCAAAUGGGAAAUUUUAAACUUGUAAAAUAUAAGCCAAAAUAUAAAAAGAUCUCUAGAUGGGUUAAACUGCAAAACAUGCUGAGUUAUUAAAUAAUUAUCAGACCCUGCAUUGUUAAGAGCACUUGGUUGGAAAAAAAAAAAAACUUUUGUAAUUCAAUUCCAGAGUUAACUGAUAACCUCUUCUGGCCUACAUGGGCACCAAGUGGUUCCCCUACAUACAUGCAGGUACUCACACAUACACAUAAAUUAAAAAUACUUUUAAAAUAAUUACUGAAUCUGAAAAUAAAACAAGAGAAUUACUCAAUGCAAACAAAAGAAAACAGUGAAAACAAAUAAAUAGAGGACCAGGUGUGGCAGUGACUGCCUUAAUCCUAAUACUUGGAGGCAGAGACAGGCAGAUCUCAGCCAAUGGUCUACAGAGUGAGCACCAGGCCACACAGGGUUACAUAGAGAGACCCUAUCUCAAAACCAAACUAC
rnacentral:lncRNA from 1 species